UACGGAGGGUGCGAGCGUUGUCCGGAAUCAUUGGGCGUAAAGGGCGCGUAGGUGGCCCGGUCAGUUCGUGGUGAAAGCGCGGGACUCAACCCUGCGUCGGCCAUGAAUACUGCCGCGGCUGGAGCACUGUAGAGGCAGGCGGAAUUCCGGGUGUAGCGGUGGAAUGCGUAGAGAUCCGGAAGAACACCGGUGGCGAAGGCGGCCUGCUGGGCAGUGCUGGACACUGAGGCGCGACAGCGUGGGGAGCAAACAGGG
rnacentral:rRNA from 1 species